GAUGAACGCUGGCGGUCUGCUUAACACAUGCAAGUCGAACGGAAUCCUUCGGGAUUUAGUGGCGGACGGGUGAGUAACGCGUGAGAAUCUGCCUUCAGGUUCGGGACAACAGCUGGAAACGGCUGCUAAUACCGGAUGUGCCGAGAGGUGAGAGCUUUAGUGCCUGAAGAUGAGCUCGCGUCUGAUUAGCUAGUAGGAGUGGUAAUGGCACCCCUAGGCGACGAUCAGUAGCUGGUCUGAGAGGAUGAACAGCCACACUGGGACUGAGACACGGCCCAGACUCCUACGGGAGGCAGCAGUGGGGAAUUUUCCGCAAUGGGCGCAAGCCUGACGGAGCAAGACCGCGUGAGGGAAGAAGGUCUGUGGAUUGUAAACCUCUUUUGAUGGGGAAGAAGACUGUGACGGUACCCAUCGAAUCAGCCUCGGCUAACUCCGUGCCAGCCGCCGCGGUAA
rnacentral:rRNA from 1 species